rnacentral:rRNA from 1 species
GAUGAACGCUGGCGGCGUGCCUAAUACAUGCAAGUCGAGCGAACAGACGAGGAGCUUGCUCCUCUGACGUUAGCGGCGGACGGGUGAGUAACACGUGGAUAACCUACCUGUAAGACUGGGAUAACUUCGGGAAACCGGAGCUAAUACCGGAUAAUAUAUUGAACCGCAUGGUUCAAUAGUGAAAGACGGUUUUGCUGUCACUUAUAGAUGGAUCCGCGCCGCAUUAGCUAGUUGGUAAGGUAACGGCUUACCAAGGCGACGAUGCGUAGCCGACCUGAGAGGGUGAUAGGCCACACUGGAACUGAGACACGGUCCAGACUCCUACGGGAGGCAGCAGUAGGGAAUCUUCCGCAAUGGGCGAAAGCUUGACGGAGCAACGCCGCGUGAGUGAUGAAGGUCUUCGGAUCGUAAAACUCUGUUAUUAGGGAAGAACAAAUGUGUAAGUAACUAUGCACGUCUUGACGGUACCUAAUCAGAAAGCCACGGCUAACUACGUG